rnacentral:rRNA from 1 species
AGGACAAACGCUGGCGGCGUACCUAAGACAUGCAAGUCGAACGGACUGCAGGUUUUCAGAUUUGCAGUGAGUGGCGAACGGGUGAGUAACGCGUAGGAACCCGCCUCGACGUGGGGGAUAACACUUGGAAACAGGUGCUAAUACCGCAUGUGGUCGGAAGAAGUAAAGGCUCUAGCAAUAGAGUCGCGUUGAGAGGGGCCUGCGUCCGAUUAGCUAGUUGGUGGGUAAAGGCUCACCAAGCGACGAUCGGUAGCUGGU